rnacentral:rRNA from 1 species
UGAAUACGAGACGCUAAGGCGUUGAAGUAGUGUAUAUCAUACUUCCAAGAAAAGCUUGCACUGUCAUAGAUAAAAAACGCCUGUACCAUAACCGACACAGGUGGGUAGGUAGAGUAUACUAAGGGGCGCGAGAUAACUCUCUCUAAGGAACUCGGCAAAAUAACUCCGUAACUUCGGGAGAAGGAGUGCCUUAUUUAUAAGGUUGCAAUAACAAGAUCCAAGCAACUGUUUAUCAAAAACACAGGUCUCCGCUAAGUCGUAAGACGAUGUAUGGGGGCUGACGCCUGCCCAGUGCCAGAAGGUUAAAGAAGUUGGUUAGCAAUAGCGAAGCUGAUAACUGAAGCCCUGGUGAACGGCGGCCGUAACUAUAACGGUCCUAAGGUAGCGAAAUUCCUUGUCGGGUAAGUUCCGACCCGCACGAAAGGCGUAAUGAUUUGGAUACUGUCUCGGAGAGGGGCUCGGUGAAAUAGACUUGUCUGUGAAGAUGCGGACUACCUGCACCAGGACAGAAAGACCCUAUGAAGCUUUACUGUAACUUGAAAUUGAAAUUGGACUUUAUUCGCGCAGUAUAGGUGGGAGGCGUUGAUUGUAAUCUUGCGGGAUUAUUGGAGCCAUCAGUGAGAUACCACCCUUGUAAUGUUAGAUUUCUAACUUUGAAUCAUUAUCUGGUCAAAGAACAGUUUCAGGCGGGCAGUUUGACUGGGGCGGUCGCCUCCUAAACGGUAACGGAGGCGUACAAAGGUUUCCUCUGAACGGUUAGAAAUCGUAUCUAGAGUGUAAAGGCAUAAGGAAGCUUGACUGUGAGACCUACAAGUCGAGCAGGGACGAAAGUCGGUCUUAGUGAUCUGACGGUACUGAGUGGAAAGGCCGUCACUCAACGGAUAAAAGUUACUCUAAGGAUAACAGGCUGAUCUCCCCCAAGAGUUCACAUCGACGGGGAGGUUUGGCACCUCGAUGUCGGCUCAUCGCAUCCUGGGGCGGUAGUACGUCCCAAGGGUUGGGCUGUUCGCCCAUGAAAGCGGUACGCGAGCUGGGUUCAGAACGUCGCGAGACAGUUCGGUCCAUAUCCGGUGUAGGCGUUAGAAUAUUGAGAGGAGCCUUCUUUAGUACGAGAGGACCGAGAAGGACAUACCUCUGGUGUACCAGUUAUCGUGCCAACGGUAAACGCUGGGUAGCUAUGUAUGGAGUGGAUAACCGCUGAAAGCAUCUAAGUGGGAAGCCCACCUCAAGAUAAG